rnacentral:rRNA from 1 species
CUACGUGCCAGCAGCCGCGGUAAUACGGAGGGUGCGAGCGUUAAUCGGAAUAACUGGGCGUAAAGGGCACGCAGGCGGUGACCUAAGUGAGGUGUGAAAGCCCCGGGCUUAACCUGGGAAUUGCAUUUCAUACUGGGUCGCUAGAGUACUUUAGGGAGGGGUAGAAUUCCACGUGUAGCGGUGAAAUGCGUAGAGAUGUGGAGGAAUACCGAUGGCGAAGGCAGCCUCCUGGGAUAACACUGACGUUCAUGCUCGAAAGCGUGGGUAGCAAACAGGAUUAGAUACCCUGGUAGUCCACGCCCUAAACGAUGUCAAUUAGCUGUUGGGCAACUUGAUUGCUUAGUAGCGUAGCUAACGCGUGAAAUUGACCGCCUGGGGAGUACGGUCGCAAGAUUAAAACUCAAAGGAAUUGACGGGGACCCGCACAAGCGGUGGAUGAUGUGGAUUAAUUCGAUGCAACGCGAAGAACCUUACCUGGUCUUGACAU